UCCUCCUUCGCAUAGUGGUUGAUUGCACUGGCUUUGUAUCCCAGUUCCGAAAGGACACGUCAGUUCGAAUCUGACAGGAGGAU
rnacentral:tRNA from 1 species